CACAGAACCACCCGGAUCUCCUGCCUCAGAUGGAAGGCAGCUCCCUCGUGACGUUCCAGAAGGAAGUAUACCAGCCGAAAGUACCAGAACGCCUCCUAUGCCUUGAGCCGGAGGGUGGACCAGAACGCAUUCCCUAUGUCUCAGGACGCAGCCUGGAUUUCCACCAGGGCCAGGAUGCUGCUGCACAUCUUUGACCUGAACCGGUCAAGCCCUUGCCGGAGAAAGAAAUGGAGUCGUUUUACUCAUAAUCUCAGAAGUUAACCCACGCAGGCGGCCCCGCACGCCAUAAAAAUAA